UACGUAGGGUGCAAGCGUUAAUCGGAAUUACUGGGCGUAAAGCGUGCGCAGGCGGUUAUGUAAGACAGGUGUGAAAUCCCAGGGCUUAACCUGGGAACUGCGCUUGUUACUGGCAAGCUGGAGUGUGGCAGAGGGGGGUGGAAUUCCACGUGUAGCAGUGAAAUGCGUAGAGAUGUGGAGGAACACCGAUGGCGAAGGCAGCCCCCUGGGCUAACACUGACGCUCAUGCACGAAAGCGUGGGGAGCAAACAGG
rnacentral:rRNA from 1 species